UCAUCAGGGCGGAGAAUGAAUGAACAAGCACAACAAAACCGCCGUACGACUGUCGACGGAACCUCAUCCAAUUUCCGCUCGCCGCCGCCCUCCCACCCUACUCCCAAAAUGCAAAAUCAAACCGAACUACCACCAGAAGCUAACCCGGAUGAACAUGAUCAAGCGAUGGAGAUUGAUUUAUCAUCCACCACCACUCUCGAUCUCACCAGCUUCCAGCUCCACGAUCUUGAGUCGGUGGAAUUGCCGCCAAACCUGACCGAGUUGGAUCUUACUGCGAACCGUUUGUCGAAAUUGGACCCUCGGAUUGCGAAUCUUAUUAACCUUAGAAAGCUCUCUUUUCGGCAGAACCUCAUCGACGAUGCUGCUAUCGAGCCGAUCUCUCACUGGGACUCAUUAUCUGGUAUUGAGGAGUUAGUACUUAGGGAUAAUAAAUUGAUGAAAAUACCAGAUGUUAGCUUAUUCAAGAAGCUAUUGGUUUUCGAUGUUUCUUUCAAUGAAAUCACUUCACUGCAUGGAAUGUCAAAGGUCUUCAGCACGCUCAAGGAACUCUACGUCUCCAAAAAUGAAGUUACUAUGACGGAGGAGAUUGACCACUUGCAUGAAUUGCAAAUUCUUGAACUUGGUUCGAACAGAUUAAGGGUAAUGGAAAAUCUGCAAAAUUUCAUAAACUUACAAGAGCUUUGGCUUGGAAGGAAUCAAAUUAAAGUGAUAAAUCUUUGUGGGCUCAAUUGUAUUAAGAAGAUUAGUUUGCAAAGUAAUCGUCUAACUUCUAUGACAGGAUUGGAGGAAUGCGUUGCUCUAGAAGAGAUAUAUUUGAGCCACAAUGGUAUUGCAAAAAUGGAAGGUCUAUCAACAUUGGUUAACCUCCGAGUAUUAGAUGUUUCAUCAAAUAAGUUAACAUCAGUAAAUGACAUACAAAACUUGACAAGGUUGGAGGACUUAUGGCUCAACGACAACCAAAUAGAAUCACUUGAAAACAUAGCUGAGGCUGUUUCUGGUUCAAGAGAAAAGCUCACUACAAUCUACCUUGAAAACAAUCCAUGUGCAAAAUCUCCAAACUACCAGGCUACCCUGAGAGAAGUGUUCUCUAAUAUUGAGCAAAUCGAUUCUAACUUAUUUGCUUAGAAGUUUUGACAGUUCCGACUGGAAAUGUUGUAAUUUAAAGGUCUGCAUUUUUCAAUCAUGAAACAGGGUUCCGAAAGCCUUCCCUUAUUCUGGAAGGGUUAUGAAGUUGGGCUUGCUGAAUCAUGGAACAUUGAUUAAAAUGUAAUAUUAAUCUUCUCUUGGGCAUUCUUCAUUUCUUGCAUGGUAUCUUCUUUCCAACCGUUCUUUGUUAUAAGAGUAAUAUGUCAAGCUAUCUAUCUUGGGAAUAAGGAUGUUUGACUUUUUGCGUUGUAGUUCGGUUAUGAAACUCCUGAAUGACUCAUACAUGCUCGAAGCAUUGUCAUGGACUACAUUUUAGCCUCA